rnacentral:pre_miRNA from 1 species
GGUGCCAUCUUACCGGGCAGCAUUAGAUUCCUCUGCUGAAAUCUCUAAUACUGUCAGGUAAAGAUGUCGGC